ensembl:lncRNA
GGGUAAACUCUGAGAGCUACGGAGAGGGCGGGACGAGCGGGCGCGGGGACAGAGAUCCCACCCAGGGUAGCAAAUCUCCGGCACACAGCCUCGGACAGACCGGAGGACGCGGCUUGGUUACUCUCGGAGGGACCGAAGGGCUGUACAGCUGACUUGCUGUUACAAGGUGGGUUCCUUCUGGACAGAAGAGGCGGAGCAUUGUGGGCAUGGCCAAGAAUGGCGCACCGCCCUUCGCUGCUGCCCCCUCGGCUCUGCUUUCUGAUCACCGUGAGGUCUUCAGAUCUCCAGGAACUGUACUUGACUGUGCCUAAGAAACCUCAUAAGCACUGGCAGCUGAUUAGAUGGCAAAAUAUCAACUUUGAGCUGAUGCAAUAAUGGAUGAGACUCUGAGGAUCUUGAAGAGAUUUCUGGAGGCUGGGAAAUCCAAGAUCAAGGGGCUGGCCUCCGGAGAGCAUCUUCAUGCUGCAUCAUCCCAUGGUGAAAGGAAACAGGGCCAGAGCACAAGAAUUAUGCUAUUGUGGCUGCUUUGAUGUCCUGAAUCGAUUUACCUUUCAUGUUCAUUUUGACUUUGGGGAAGAAUCAGAAGUUACACAGUUCCAGAUCUGGUGAAUGGGAUGGAUGAGGACACACCAACCUUUCUGUUGGAUGGCACUUGGCACUAGUAUCCACCAUAUUUUUGAUCACAUCUUGUAAAGACACUCAUGAAACAGAACUUCCAGGACUGCUUCAGAAAGUGUCAUAAUUAUAUUCAAAGUGAGAGGUUAUAUUUUGAGGGGGAUUAAUGGCAAUGUAUGUUUUAGUGUAAUACAUUUCUUCCCCCUGGUACCUGGCAUCAAACCUAGGACCUUCUGCUUUCAAGGCAGGUGCAGCGCCACUGAGCUAAAUCCCCAGCCCAAUACAUUUUUAAUAUGUAAACAUUCACUAUAUAUUUUGAUCACCCCUUGUACAAGGUAAGAUGGGGCCAAAUUCACUUUUAUGAUGAACCCACUCCUGUGAUGACAACUGAUUCAUGAGAGCCAAGCCCUCAUGGCCUAACCAAUUCUUGAGGGUCCAACCUUUCAACACUAUUGCUUUGGAAAUCAAGUUUCCAAUACAUACACUUUGAGAGAAAGACUCAAACUUUGCAGAACCAUAUCUGGUAUAUUCAGCAUCUAGGACAGGGCUGGGUACAUUGCAGGAAAUAAAAAGACAUGUUGAUUGAAUGAAUGAAACAAAUGUUAAAAGUAGUUCAUUAUGAAGGAGGAGGAUUAUGCAGCCCUUGAAUUGUCUACUUCAUAUGUUUUUUGUUUGAAUUUUUAUGAUGAGUACAUUGGCCAGUUACUCUCAGUGUUCAACAACUAUCCAUGUGUUCUCUAUAUUUCUUACCCUCAAUGCUUUUAGGUGUGUUCAUGGAGCCAAUUCUCACUGAAGGCAUGCGAGUGAAGAAAAUCUAUCUCUAUUCAGAGGCCCUCUUAAAUAAGAUAUUCAGCAAUGUGAUUUAGACUGUUUUUUGGGUUGUUUUUUUUUUAUACUGGGGAUCGAACUCAGGUCCUUCUGCUUGCGAGGCAGGCGGUGGAACUACUGAGCUAAAUCCCUGGCCCGAAACUGUUUUUCUAUGUAGUCUUGUAGUCACAUGAAGAUGAAUUUCAGGAUUUUGUUUGUUUGUUUUUCUGGUACCAGGGAUUGAACUCAGGUCCUUGCACUUGCAAGGUCAGGUUGUUGUUUUGCUCUUUAAUUUUCAGAAAUUAUCUUGUGUAUUGUGUCUUUCCUGUCUUUCUAAAAUAUCACUUUCCUGAAAGAACUAGGUUUGUGUCUUGUCUCUCUUGUUCACUGCUGUUUCCUCAGUGCCUAAAACAGUGACUACCAUGUGUGGGCAAAGCUAGAAAGCAGUGAUGAGUUCUGCCCAGCAGCAUCCUACGAGAGGUGUGCCUGAGGGGGUGAGAGGUCUUUCUGAGGAUACCAGCAGAUUCAGGAUAGAAGGAACUAAAAGAUGGCAGCUUGUAAUUCCUCACAGACUUGCUUUCUCAGGGACUCUGCAAUUUGCAGAGAUGUAAUUUACAGCUGCUCCAAGAAGAUCAGCAGGAGAGCUGCUAAUAACUGCCUUAUAAGCAUUGUGUGAUUCAUCAGCUGGGAUGUUUUGUUACUGUUACAGACAACUAGCCCAGAAAGUUGGGCUGCUUUGCAUCAAGUGAUGGAGUGGGAGACUCUGGUUUCUUCUGUUUUGUUGUUCUCCCAUCUCCCAGGUUGUUGUCAUCUUCAUGAUUGAGUUGGAUGCCCUCCUUCUGUCUGCAUUCCAGUCUCAAAAAAGAAGAAACAAAGGGGAGGCAUGUAACUUUCUUUUGAGGAUGUUCCUUGGAAGUGGCAUAUAUUACUUAGGCUCAUAUCCUAUUGAUGAGAACUUACUCAUAUGACUACCUUAAUUGCAAGAGACUCUGAGUUAUGACAGAGUCACUGGGGAAAUGGUUAUAAUGGAACUAGCUUCCUAGGCCUCUGGGUUUCCUCAAGAUUUUGAACUUAAAUAAGUAUUUCAGGCAAUUUUCGCACACAGAAAAAGUUGUGAGCCACUGCUUUCUGUUCCUUGACAGCUUCAAGCCAAAUUUCUCUUGUGUCACUUCCCUGAGUCCUCUUCAGGUCUCCAUCAUCCUUAGCCAGCUCUCCCUUUCUAAGCUGCUGGGCUUCUGCUGAGUGUGCUUGCUCUUUAGUGCAUCUUGGAUAAUGGUGGCUGCAUUUGAUCCGGCAUGCUCUCAGUUUUCUCCUAUGUUAAACAAGGUCAGACUGGUUGGCUUUUAAGAUCUCGAACAUGAAGAUGUUAAAUUUUCCCAACCAAAAUUUAUCCUAAUAGCUAGGCGGAGGAUGCAGCUAAGUGGUACAGCACUCACUUAGCAUGUGUGAGGCCCCGGGUUUGAUCCCCAGCAUUGUGCUGGCAUGUGCAUGCAUGCAUGCAAUUAUAGUGAUAAUUGUAGUAAUAGAAUUUAUCUAGUCUUAGCUCCUUGGAUUCCUGGAUUUCUUAGGUUUCUGGAGACUUCUUGGGGAUAUGCCAUAGACAGCAUCAACCUACAUUCUUUUCAUUCAUAAAGGGUCCUCCUGAAGGACACCCAAGUAUAAUUGAGUAGCUUAGACCUGGAGCAGAGAAGCAGCUCAAUACUUGUGUGUUUGUGUGUGGGGGAGUUAUUUAUGUUGCAAGCUUCCUCAGUAUGGCUAAUUCCAGCAGCUUUCUGUAAUUUUUAAGGUCAGAGAUAACAAGGUAAGUUGUCUUUUAAAGAAAUUUUAUCUAGGGCUGGCGAUUUAGCUCAGUGGUUCCACCACUUGCCUUGCAAGUGCAAGGUCCUGAGUUUGAUCCCCAGUACCAAAAAAAACAAAAAAGAAAUUUUACUCAGUCAUGUUCUGAACAGCCCUGAGAUGCACCUUGAGCAAGAAAGAUUUCAUGGGGAAAAAAGGGAGUAGGUGGGCUCAGGGAGAACUGGGAGGAACCAGAAGAAGUGAAGAGUGUGGGAUUAGAAAAUAUCUGUAACUUCCUAAGUUUUUGCAGAGAAUCCCCAGGCUUUUGCAGCUCUCUUGGUAGGUUUUUAAAGCUAUUGAGUAAAAUAGAGGCUUUUAGUAACUUUUAGAAGUACCAUCUUUGCAUUUCUGCAGCACGAGGUGUACGUGUCUUUUUCAUUUUUAGUGGUAAAGUUUAUAUGUGCCCAAUAUUUGGUUAUUAAUCAUCCAAUGACACUGAAUAACUAAGUUAGCCAAGUAUUCCCUUUAACAAAACAGAUGUUGUUUAAAGUCACUGUUUUACUUUAUGAAGAAAAUUCCACUUACAUGUAAAAUAUGUAAUUUAUAAAAAGAAGACAAGAAAUAAAGGGAAAACAUGUGAUUUACAUUCAAAAAUAAAAAUAUUCUUUUGG